AGGACUUUUCACUCUGCUUUUACCCCGAUACCUGCUGAUUGGAAAGCCUCAUGUCUUCUACAGACAGCACCUAACCUGAUGAUGGCCAUGUGCCCAGGAGGGCCUGGAACCAACUGGGCUGCAGGCAUGGAACAAUCAGGGCUGCAGACAGGGAGGAAAUUAGGCAGGCGGGAGGAAAUCAGGCUUCGGACAUGGAAGAAACAAGAUGUGGGGGAAUAUAAGGAAGAAACCUGUAGGCACACACAGAAGAAGCAAGGCUGGGAGCACUAGAGCAAUCGGCCUGCAAACUGGAAGACAGCUGAUGGCAGAAAUGGAAAGACUGAGACAGAGGCUAUAAAAGAGAUUCGGCUGCAGGCAUGGAAAACACAAGGUUCUGGGGGAUCUCCAGGGUACACUGUGCAGAUGAAGUCACCGGCAUGCUGCAGGGAGACAGGGCUCAGCUGGGGGCCUAGG
rnacentral:lncRNA from 1 species